rnacentral:misc_RNA from 1 species
GAAAUGCGAUAAGUAAUGUGAAUUGCAGAAUUCAGUGAAUCAUCGAAUCUUUGAACGCACCUUGCGCCCCUUGGUAUUCCUUGGAGCAUGCCUGUUUGAGUAUCAUGAAAUCUUCAAAGUAAAUCUUUUGUUAACUCAAUUGGUUUCUACUUUGGUAUUGGAGAUCUUUGCAGCUUCACACCUGCUCCUCUUUGUUCAUUAGCUGGAUCUCAGUGUUAUGCUUGGUUCCACUCGGCGUGAUAAGUUAUCUAUCGCUGAGGACACUGUAAAAGGUGGCCAAGGUAAAUGCAGAUGAACCGCUUCUAAUAGUCCAUUGACUUGGACAAUACUUUUAUGAUCUGAUCUCAAAUCAGGUAGGACUACCCGCUGAACUUAAGC